rnacentral:rRNA from 1 species
AUUGAACGCUGGCGGCAUGCCUUACACAUGCAAGUCGAACGGCAGCACGGGUGCUUGCACCUGGUGGCGAGUGGCGAACGGGUGAGUAAUACAUCGGAACAUGUCCAGUAAUGGGGGAUAGCCCGGCGAAAGCCGGAUUAAUACCGCAUACGCUCUACGGAGGAAAGCGGGGGAUCGAAAGACCUCGCGUUAUUGGGGUGGCCGAUGGCGGAUUAGGUAGUUGGUGGGGUAAAGGAUCACCAAGGCGACGAUCCGUAGCUGGUCUGAGAGGACGACCAGCCACACUGGGACUGAGACACGGCCCAGACUCCUACGGGAGGCAGCAGUGGGGAAUUUUGGACAAUGGGCGAAAGCCUGAUCCAGCAAUGCCGCGUGUGUGAAGAAGGCCUUCGGGUUGUAAGGCACUUUUGUCCGGAAAGAAAUCCUUGAUCCUAAUAUGGUCGGGGGAUGACGGUACCGGAAGAAUAAGCACCGGCUAACUACGUGCCAGCCGCCGCCGUAAAAC